CCUACGUGCGGCAGCAGUGAGGAAUAUUGGUCCAUGGACGAAAGUCUGAACCAGCCAUGCCGCGUGCAGGAAGACGGCUCUAUGAGUUGUAAACUGCUUUUGUACAAGGGUAAACCUGAAUACGUGUAUUUAGCUGAAAGUACUGUACGAAUCAGGAUCGGCUAACUCCGUGCCAGCAGCCGCGGUAAUACGGAGGAUCCAAGCGUUAUCCGGAGUUAUUGGGUUUAAAGGGUGCGUAGGCGGAUUGAUAAGUUAGAGGUGAAAUGUCCGGGCUCAACGCGGGAACUGCCUCUAAUACUGUUGAGCUAGAGAGUAGAUGCGGUAGGCGGAAUGUAUGGUGUAGCGGUGAAAUGCUUAGAGAUCAUACAGAACACCGAUUGCGAAGGCAGCUUACCAAUCUAUAUCUGACGUUGAGGCACGAAAGCGUGGGGAGCAAACAGGAUUAGAUACCCCGGUAGUC
rnacentral:rRNA from 1 species